rnacentral:rRNA from 1 species
UAAAGGUGGCCUCUGAUUAAGCUGUCGCUUGAGGAUGAGCCUGCGUCCCAUUAGUUAGUUGGUGUGGUAAAAGCGCACCAAGACGAUGAUAGGUAGGCGUCCUUAACGGGUGGUCGCCCACACUGGGAUUGAGAUACUGCCCAGACUCCUACGGGAGGCAGCAGUCGAGAAUAGUCUACAAUGGACGAAAGUCUGAUAGUGCAACGCCGCGUGAGUGAAGAAGCAUUUCGGUGUGUAAAACUCUUUUCUUUGUGAGCAGUGCCAUUAUGGUGAAUAGCUAUAGUGGAGAGAUAUUAGCAGAGGAAUAAGCCACGGCUAACUCCGUGCCAGCAGCCGCGGUAACACGGGGGUGGCAAGCGUUGUCCGGAAUCACUAGGCGUAAAGGGCAAGUAGGCGGAGUAUCAAGUCAUUUGUUAAAGGCAUUGGCUCAACCAAUGUACGGCAUAUGAUACUGGUAUUCUAGAAUUUGGUAUGGGAAGACGGAAUUCCUGGUGUAGCGGUGGAAUGCGCAGAUAUCAGGAAGAACACCGGAGGCGAAGGCGGUCUUCUGGGCCAAAAUUGACGCUGAAUUGCGAAGGUGUGGGUAUCAAACAGGAUUAGAUACCCUGGUAGUCCACACAGUAAACGAUGUGCACUAGAUGUUGGGGGAUAAAUUUCUUCAGUGUCGCAGCAAACGCGUUAAGUGCAUCGCCUGGGGAGUACGAUCGCAAGAUUAAAACUCAAAGGAAUUGACGGGGGCCCGCACAAGCGGUGGAGCAUGUGGUUUAAUUCGAUGCAACGCGAAGAACCUUACCUGGGCUUGACAUCCUCAGAACCUUGUGGAGACACGGGGGUGCCUUCGGGAGCUGAGAGACAGGUGCUGCAUGGUUGUCGUCAGCUCGUGUCGUGAGAUGUUGGGUUAAGUCCCGCAACGAGCGCAACCCCUAUCUUUAGUUACCAUCACGUAAUGGUGGGGACUCUAGGGAGACUGCCAGUGUAAUAAACUGGAGGAAGGUGGGGAUGACGUCAAAUCAUCAUGGUCCUUAUGUCCAGGGCUACACACGUGCUACAAUGGCCGGUACAGAGGGCAGCAAAGCCGCGAGGUGGCGCAAAUCUCAGAAAGCCGGUCUCAGUUCGGAUUGGAGUCUGCAACUCGACUCCAUGAAGCUGGAAUCGCUAGUAAUCGCGUAUCAGCAUCACGCGGUGAUACGUUCCCGGGCAUUGUACACACCGCCCGUCAAGUCAGCCGAGUUGAUUGCACCCGAAG